AGCAGCCGCGGUAAUUCCAGCUCCAAUAGCGUAUAUUAAAGUUGUUGCAGUUAAAAAGCUCGUAGUUGAAUUUCGGGGUUCUACCGUUGGUCGGGCUUUGUCUGUACUGGCGUGUAGAAUUUCUACCUUCUGGGGAACCAUCAUGUUAUUUAUUUAACGUGGUGGGAAACCAGGACCUUUACCUUGAAAAAAUUAGAGUGUUCAAAGCAGGCUUAUGUCUGAAUACAUUAGCAUGGAAUAAUAAAAUAGGACGGUGGUCCUGUUUUGUUGGUUUCUGAAUCACCGUAAUGAUUAAUAGGGAUAGUUGGGGGCAUUAGUAUUCAAUUGUCAGAGGUGAAAUUCUUGGAUUUAU
rnacentral:rRNA from 1 species